GACGAACGCUGGCGGCGUGCUUAACACAUGCAAGUCGAACGGUGAACCUCUUCGGAGGGGAUCAGUGGCGAACGGGUGAGUAACACGUGGGCAACCUGCCCCCGGCUCUGGGAUAACUCCAAGAAAUUGGGGCUAAUACCGGAUGUUCACCGCUUCCCGCAUGGGUGGUGGUGGAAAGGGUUUCCGGCUGGGGAUGGGCCCGCGGCCUAUCAGCUUGUUGGUGGGGUAGUGGCCUACCAAGGCGACGACGGGUAGCCGGCCUGAGAGGGUGACCGGCCACACUGGGACUGAGACACGGCCCAGACUCCUACGGGAGGCAGCAGUGGGGAAUAUUGCGCAAUGGGCGGAAGCCUGACGCAGCGACGCCGCGUGGGGGAUGACGGCCUACGGGUUGUAAACCUCUUUCAGCAGGGACGAAGCGCAAGUGACGGUACCUGCAGAAGAAGCACCGGCCAACUACGUG
rnacentral:rRNA from 1 species